AGUCGAGCGGUAGAGAGAAGCUUGCUUCUCUUGAGAGCGGCGGACGGGUGAGUAAUGCCUAGGAAUCUGCCUGGUAGUGGGGGAUAACGUUCGGAAACGGACGCUAAUACCGCAUACGUCCUACGGGAGAAAGCAGGGGACCUUCGGGCCUUGCGCUAUCAGAUGAGCCUAGGUCGGAUUAGCUAGUUGGUGAGGUAAUGGCUCACCAAGGCGACGAUCCGUAACUGGUCUGAGAGGAUGAUCAGUCACACUGGAACUGAGACACGGUCCAGACUCCUACGGGAGGCAGCAGUGGGGAAUAUUGGACAAUGGGCGAAAGCCUGAUCCAGCCAUGCCGCGUGUGUGAAGAAGGUCUUCGGAUUGUAAAGCACUUUAAGUUGGGAGGAAGGGUUGUAGAUUAAUACUCUGCAAUUUUGACGUUACCGACAGAAUAAGCACCGGCU
rnacentral:rRNA from 1 species